rnacentral:rRNA from 1 species
UACGAAGGGGGCUAGCGUUGCUCGGAAUCACUGGGCGUAAAGGGCGCGUAGGCGGACUCUUAAGUCGGGGGUGAAAGCCCAGGGCUCAACCCUGGAAUUGCCUUCGAUACUGAGAGUCUUGAGUUCGGAAGAGGUUGGUGGAACUGCGAGUGUAGAGGUGAAAUUCGUAGAUAUUCGCAAGAGCACCGGUGGCGAAGGCGGCUCACUGGUCCGGUACUGACGCUGAGGUGCGAAAGCGUGGGGAGCAAACAGG